CUGUAGCAUUUGAGUGUUUUUGUUUUAUUUUUGUCUUGGUGCUGGGAUUGAACCUGGGACCUCAUGCCUUCUAAGGUGUGUGCUCCACCUCUGAGCCACACCCUUGUUCCUGAAGUCACAUCUGAACACCAGGAAAAAUCACAACUGGGCAGCAGAGGUGCAGGUGCUCUGGAUCCUGGGCUUGGCAGGAGGGCAGGGGCGCCCUGCCCCAGACUCACAUCAUCGGAGGCACAGCCAGCACAUCUGGAGAGUGAUGCUGACACCAGGCUCCAAAGCCAUUACCAUAGCCACCGGCCUCGCUCUCCAGGACUCCCCGGAACGG
rnacentral:lncRNA from 1 species